GAGCGGCGGACGGGUGAGUAACGCGUGGGUAACCUGCCCUGUACACACGGAUAACAUACCGAAAGGUAUGCUAAUACGGGAUAACAUAAGAAAUUCGCAUGUUUUUCUUAUCAAAGCUCCGGCGGUACAGGAUGGACCCGCGUCUGAUUAGCUAGUUGGUGAGGUAACGGCUCACCAAGGCGACGAUCAGUAGCCGACCUGAGAGGGUGAUCGGCCACAUUGGAACUGAGACACGGUCCAAACUCCUACGGGAGGCAGCAUG
rnacentral:rRNA from 1 species